rnacentral:rRNA from 1 species
UACGUAGGGUGCAAGCGUUGUCCGGAAUUAUUGGGCGUAAAGAGCUCGUAGGCGGUCUGUCGCGUCGGAUGUGAAAACCCAGGGCUCAACCCUGGGCCUGCAUUCGAUACGGGCAGACUAGAGUUCGGUAGGGGAGACUGGAAUUCCUGGUGUAGCGGUGAAAUGCGCAGAUAUCAGGAAGAACACCUAUGGCGAAGGCAGCUCUCUGGGACGGUACUGACGCUGAGACGCGAAAGCGUGGGGAGCAAACAGG